rnacentral:rRNA from 1 species
UACGUAGGUGGCAAGCGUUGUCCGGAAUUAUUGGGCGUAAAGCGCGCGCAGGCGGUCCUUUAAGUCUGAUGUGAAAUCUCCAAGCCUAACUUGGAAACUGCAUUGGAUACUAUCCGGCUCGAGGAAUGGAGGGGAGACUGGAAUACUUGGUGUAGCAGUGAAAUGCGUAGAUAUCAAGUGGAACACCAGUGGCGAAGGCGAGUCUCUGGACAUUUCCUGACGCUGAGGCACGAAAGCCAGGGGAGCAAACGGG